rnacentral:rRNA from 1 species
UACGUAGGGUCCGAGCGUUGUCCGGAAUCACUGGGCGUAAAGCGCACGUAGGCGGCUUUUUAAGUCAGGGGUGAAAUCCUGGAGCUCAACUCCAGAACUGCCUUUGAUACUGAGAAGCUUGAGUUCGGGAGAGGUGAGUGGAACUGCGAGUGUAGAGGUGAAAUUCGUAGAUAUUCGCAAGAACACCAGUGGCGAAGGCGGCUCACUGGCCCGAUACUGACGCUGAGGUGCGAAAGCGUGGGGAGCAAACAGG